rnacentral:rRNA from 1 species
UGCUGGGUGGAUUAGUGGCGAACGGGUGAGUAACACGUGAGUAACCUGCCCUUAACUCUGGGAUAAGCCUGGGAAACUGGGUCUAAUACCGGAUAGGAGCGCCNACCGCAUGGUGGGUGUUGGAAAGAUUUAUCGGUUUUGGAUGGACUCGCGGCCUAUCAGCUUGUUGGUGAGGUAAUGGCUCACCAAGGCGACGACGGGUAGCCGGCCUGAGAGGGUGACCGGCCACACUGGGACUGAGACACGGCCCAGACUCCUACGGGAGGCAGCAGUGGGGAAUAUUGCACAAUGGGCGAAAGCCUGAUGCAGCGACGCCGCGUGAGGGAUGACGGCCUUCGGGUUGUAAACCUCUUUCAGUAGGGAAGAAGCGAAAGUGACGGUACCUGCAGAAGAAGCACCGGCUAACUACGUGCCAGCAGCCGCGGUAAUACGUAGGGUGCGAGCGUUAUCCGGAAUUAUUGGGCGUAAAGAGCUCGUAGGCGGUUUGUCGCGUCUGUCGUGAAAGUCCGGGGCUUAACCCCGGAUCUGCGGUGGGUACGGGCAGACUAGAGUGCAGUAGGGGAGACUGGAAUUCCUGGUGUAGCGGUGGAAUGCGCAGAUAUCAGGAGGAACACCGAUGGCGAAGGCAGGUCUCUGGGCUGUAACUGACGCUGAGGAGCGA